rnacentral:rRNA from 1 species
UACGUAGGGUGCGAGCGUUGUCCGGAUUUAUUGGGCGUAAAGAGCUCGUAGGCGGUUUGUCGCGUCGGCCGUGAAAUCUCCACGCUUAACGUGGAGCGUGCGGUCGAUACGGGCAGACUUGAGUUCGGUAGGGGAGACUGGAAUUCCUGGUGUAGCGGUGAAAUGCGCAGAUAUCAGGAGGAACACCGGUGGCGAAGGCGGGUCACUGGACCGGUACUGACGCUGAGGCGCGAAAGCGUGGGGAGCAAACGGG